CUACGGGACGCUGCAGUGGGGAAUCUUAGACAAUGGGGGAAACCCUGAUCUAGCCAUGCCGCGUGAGCGAUGACGGCCCUAGGGUUGUAAAGCUCUUUCAGCAGGGAAGAUAAUGACGGUACCUGCAGAAGAAGUCCCGGCUAACUCCGUGCCAGCAGCCGCGGUAAUACGGAGGGGACUAGCGUUGUUCGGAAUUACUGGGCGUAAAGCGCGCGUAGGCGGAUUGUUAAGUCGGGGGUGAAAUCCCGGGGCUCAACCCCGGAACUGCCCUCGAUACUGGCAGUCUUGAGUUCGAGAGAGGUGAGUGGAAUUCCGAGUGUAGAGGUGAAAUUCGUAGAUAUUCGGAGGAACACCAGUGGCGAAGGCGGCUCACUGGCUCGAUACUGACGCUGAGGUGCGAAAGCGUGGGGAGCAAACAGGAUUAGAUACCCCAGUAGUC
rnacentral:rRNA from 1 species